ensembl:snRNA U2 U2 spliceosomal RNA
AUCACUUCUCGGCCUUUUGGCUAAGAUCAAGUGUAGCAUCAUAUAUGUGGGAGCUAAAAUUUUAAAAAAAGUUAAAAAAAUAAAUGUUUGUAUCAGUACUACUGCAAAUGUAGUUCUAUUAAACUUUGUUUGAUAUAUUUGUCAAGUACUAGUUUUAAUGAUA